rnacentral:rRNA from 1 species
UACGUAGGGGGCAAGCGUUGUCCGGAAUCAUUGGGCGUAAAGCGCGCGUAGGCGGCCCGGUAAGUCCGCUCUGAAAGUCCAGGGCUCAACCCUGGAAUGCGGGUGGAUACUGCCGGGCUAGAGUCCGGAAGAGGCGAGUGGAAUUCCUGGUGUAGCGGUGAAAUGCGCAGAUAUCGGGAGGAACACCAAUGGCGAAGGCAGCUCGCUGGGACGUUACUGACGCUGAGACGCGAAAGCGUGGGGAGCAAACAGG